AAAAAUCCUCAGCGCACACAAAAUUCAUCCAUACUCCUUUAGUCACCUCCACAGAUCCUCAGCAAAUAAUAUUUUAAGAUCUAUUUUGUGGUUUUUAGUAAAUAUAAUAAAAACUUAAUGAAAUAGAAUUUAAGUAGGUUUAAAAAAUUUGUUUAUUAGGUUUUAAAAUAAAUAUAAAUAAUAAAAUUAAUUAUAAAUUAUUUUAUUAGUAAGGAAAUCAAAGAAUGAAAAAACAAUCAGGGCUCUGUCAAAUAAGUUUAUAUAUAUGGAGUUGUCUAUGCUCUGCUGUGUUUAUAAUAAUUUAAAUAUCUAAAUAAAUAAUUAAUUAUUUAAAUAUAUGUUAAUUAUUUAUCAUUAAAAGAGAAGAGGAAAACGAAGGGAAGAGGAAAGCGAAGUGUUAGUGAUCGAUCAUUAGGAGGGGGUUGUUCUAGGGACGGUGUUUUGCCAGUACUGUGCCGGUAGAUUCGUCAGUUGGUCUGUGUUUGCCUCCUUUGCUCUUAGAGAAGGGGAUGGCUCUUUGAAGGUUUGGUUUUAAUGGGUUGCUCUGGUGGUGAUUUCCCUCGUCGCUCCCGUUUAUUGCCAUAUUAUUUUAUUUGUUUUUGUUUGUUUCUCCAUAUUUGGUGCUUGCACGUUGAGGAAUUGGGUUGGGAUAUGUUGGUUUGGAGGUGAUCGUGUGCUUGUGCUUGACAGUUUCCUUAUUAUGUUCGAUGGUAAUGGAGAUCCAGGGAUUAGUUUGCCAAGCUUUGUUCUUGGUUCCCUCAUGGCAUAGAGUUUGCCAGUGAUUUUCGCGUGCUGCCGUCCGAGUUGUGCUUCUUGGGGGAGAACUGGCUAGUUUGGUCCUUUGAUCUUCUAUCCGCUUGCUUCUUCCUGGCUGGACAGUGUUCCUAGGUACGUAGUUGAUGGUCGGUUGGUGCUUGAUCAGUGUUCUGGGGUUGAUGGUCUGAGUUUCUGUGCUUUCUCAUUUUUUAUAGAAUUUGGAUUUGAAUUGUGAUUUGGGGCUCUUUUUUUGGGACUCGGCUUGUGUGUGGAACACUGGACUGGUUGUUUGUUCUCUUUGAACCUAUAUGGACCAUUUCCUGUAUUUUGUCCACUGUGGGCCUUGUUAAAUGUUACUACUGCAUUUGUCCAAAAAAAAUAUUUAUCUUGUUGUUUUUAUUUUUAUUAAUAUUAUUAAAUUUAACUUUAAAUAAAUUUUAAUUAGCAUAUUUUUACUAAUAUUAACUUAAAUAACUAAAUUCAAACCUUAUUCUCUGAAAUUAUAUACAAACAAGCUAUAACACCUCAUAAUGCCAUCAUUAUCAAAUAAAAUAUACAUUAUUCUGAAAAUUAUUUAAUUAAUUUUAUUUCAUAUAAUAUGAUGCUCAUUCUUUUUAAAAAAAUGAAAUUUUUAAAUUAAAAAUAAUGGAAAUAUUUAACUGUCAAUAAAAAAAUAUAUUAAAUGAAAUUUUUAUAAAAGUAUUGAUUUUAAAUGGAAAGAUUAUGUAGUCAUUGAGAUACAUCUCAUUAUUUAAUAAUGUAAAAUAAUUAAAAUGAGAUUGAAUUUUAAAAUAAAAUGUUAUGAAAGAAAUCUAAAGUAUAAACUAAGAGAGUCAGCCAAUUAAAGGAUAUAAAAAGGAGGGGAGAAGAAGGGCUAAUAAAAGUUGUACAUCACCAUUGUUAGAAUAAUAAUGUAUUUUUUUAAAAUUAAUUUUGUUAAAGUAUUUAUUAUGAAAAUUUGAUAAAAAUUCAUUUUAAUUUAAUUGAUAACUUAAUUAUAAGAGAAAUGAUAUUAUAUCUGUGGGCAAAUAUUAUAUUAUUAUUAUUUUUUAUAUGUUAUCUAUAUAUUUUUUUAAAUGCUUUGAUAUUCAUAAAUUAAAUAAAUAUUUAUUAAAAAUAUUUUAUUUUUUAGUGAGUGGAUAUGAAGCAAACGAUAUAAUAUUUUCCUUCCUUCUUAGCUGAAGAUGGAUCCAUACAACAACCUGAAGAAGUAGAUGAGCUUGGUGGAGAAGAAUUAGGCGGCCCGGAGGAAGUAUUGCCGGUGAGCAACGAAACCUGCGCUCCA
rnacentral:lncRNA from 1 species